rfam:Trichobilharzia regenti genome assembly, scaffold: TRE_scaffold0009615
AUCCGUCUGACGAGUUCCCAAUUAGGACGAAAUGCGCAUCCUGGAU